ensembl:lncRNA
GUCCGGGGCAGAUCGCCAAGCAAGCCCCUCCCCAGCGCUCGCGGGUUCCUGCCCGCGCGUCCCUUCCAGAGCCCGCUUGGCUCCAGUGCCCAGUUCCCCUCGGUUCCCAGUCGCGCCCGGCUUCCACCCUGCCCCCUCCCGCGGCCCCCAAUCUCCCCUCUCCUGCGCCCUGUUUGCCUCCGGCGUUUGCUUUCCGCUGCGCCCCGGCUCUACCCGCCGCCACCCAUCCCAUCUACCUCCAGUGCCCAGGUUUCCUGCAGAGCAGAGCUCACGCGCCCUUUAGCAGGAAGGGGACUUCGGUGUUCUCGAAACACCGGAGCGCCUUGGACGGUCUGUUCGCUGGGGGUGGAGGAGUCUGGCUGCAAGACUGUUUCUUGUAUUGGGCAGCCUAGGAGGGUGUGUGUAAAGCCCUUCCUCUGUCAAGAGGAGUCCCAGCCAGCUCGCGUCCUGCCAGCUCGGGGAUCGGAUCGGAGGCGGGUGUGAGCGGUUAGAAGAAACUUUCCAGCGAGCGCCUUGCUAAAGCAGAGCGCGCAUCUGUCAGGAACGCUCCCCGGGAGCUAUUCUUGCAAGAAGCUUCUGUCGUUCCAGGGCAGCAGAUGCAGAAAGCAAAGGAAGGUUUGUGCAGCUGACAGCUAAUGCUGAGGACCAGUUGGAAAAAUACACACUCCCAGGUCCCAGCUGAUGGAUGUAGACCUCAGCUCCUCAACAUGGCCUUCAACGCCCUCCACAGUCCAGUUCCAAAGAGCCUUUCCAGCAGUUUCAUACUAGAACUCUCCGUGUCACCCUAGCUUGCAGUUCUAUAUUAAUACAACCCAGAGGCUUGGUUGGUUUGUGCCCAACUCUUUUCAACCCCAUGGACUGUAGCCCACCAGGCUCCUCUGUCCAUGGAAUUUCCCAGGCAAGAGUACUGGGGUGGGUUGCCGUAUCCUACUCCAGGGGAUCUUUCCAGCCCAGGGGAUUGGACCCGCAUCUUGCGUCUUCUGCAUUGCAGAUGGAUUCUUUACCACUGCGUCACCUGGGAAGCCCCAGAGGCUCAGUAACAGUAAGCAAUUUUUAAAUGCCUUUACCUUUGGGAAAUCACCUUUAAAAAAAAGUCUUCCCCCCAUUUUGGUGCCCUUUCUUAUUAGAUGCAUGCAUACAUGUAAGCUAAGUCACUUCUGUCGUGUCCAACUCUGUGUGACCCCAUGGACUGUUAGCCCACUAGGUUCCUCUGUUGGUAGGAUUCUCUAGGCAAGAAUACUGGGAUGGGUUGCCGUGUCCUCCUCCAGGGGAUCUUCCUGACCCAGGGAUUGAACCAGAGUCUCCUUCACUGGCAGGUGAGUUCUUCACCACCAGCACCACCUGGGAAGCCCCUCCUUAGUAGGUACACUACUCCUAAAAAAGUAUUUGUUUAUGUGAUUCUUUGACAUGAAUUCCUUUAAAGGAUUUCAGUGGUGAAAUAUUAGCAACAGUGAAAGAAUUUUUUUUCCUCAAGUAGUGCCAGUAAAUAGUAGCUUUUUUAAAAAGGAAGGUAAUUCAAUGUAAAGUUUCGCCAACUUUCAUAACUUCUGUUCUUAUUCAGCUGUAAGAUCUUACCUUGAAGUGCUGGCGGUGAUGAGAGUGUUAUCCGUAUACAUGAAAGCAUUUGGCUAAGAGCUGUACUUCAGUUUGCCCAAGUCUAGAGCUUGUAAUGAUAACAAGCUAUGCUAAUUGUUGAAAACUCUAGGUUUUAUUUUAACAGAGUCUUAUUGUGCUCCUGAUAAAAUGAUUAUGUUGUAAACGCUGAGAAAUCUGUAGCAACAAGAAUCCCCUAAGCCCUGAUUUUAAGUUUCUAAAGGGUAGAAAUGAUACCUUUUAAGCACGUUAACUCCCAUUUAUUUGGGUCAUGUGAUGAUAGCUGGUAUUUUGUAAAUUCCUGUGCAAUAAAGGAAACAGUUAAAGUUUAUGUGGUGGUCAAGCUCAGUCGUGUUAGACUCUUGGCGACCCCAUGGACUGUAACCCCCAGGAUCCCCUGUCCCUGGGAUGUUCCAGGCAAGAAUACUGCAGUAGGUUGCCACUUACUUCUCCAGGGGACCUUCCCCACCCAGGGAUUGAACCUGCAUCUCCUGUAUUGGCAGGCGGAUUCUUUACCACUGAACUUUUAGGGAAGCCCCAAAUACACCAGGCUUCCCUGGUGGCUCAGACGGUAAAGAAACCACCUGCAAUGCGAGAGACCUGGGUUGGAUCCCUGGGUUGGGAAGAUCCCCUGGAGGAGGGCAUGGCAACCCACUCCAGUAUUCUUGCCUGGAGAAUCCCCAUGGACAGAGGAGCCUAGCAAACUGCAGUCCAUGGGGUCGCAAAGAGUUGGACACGACUGAGCAACUAAGCACAGCACACAGCACACUCUCUAAAAUAAAAGAAGACAUUGUGUUUUCCGUUCACCCAAGGAAGAUGGAUCUGGGCCAUCCAACUGCAUGGAACUGCCAACGGGAACCAAUGAAAGAAACAGGUUGCCAUGCCUUUGGGUAGCAGACGAAAUCAUUUACCUUGCUUCCUUUUCACUCACUACUUUGAGUAGACCAAACAGGUAUCAUUUUCCAUACAUUUUUCCUCUUCUUUGUAUUGGAUAUAUAUUUUUGUAGGUAACUGACAUUAUUUACUUACUAUAUAAAUGCUUAUCCAGAUCCAUUCAAUAAAUAGAGGCAAGGCAAGUCCUUUGGCUUGGAAGGGUAGAGUUCCACACUAGCUGGACACUAUUGCUGCUACUUUAAAUUUUUUGAUUUAUUUAUGGCUGUGCUGGGUCUUUGUUGUUGGAUGCAGGCUUUCUCCAAUUGCAGCGAGUGAGGGGGGCUUCUCUUCGUUUGGUACAUGGGCUUCUCAUUGUGGGGGCUUCUCUUGUUGAGGAGCACAGGUUCUAGGCACAUGGGCUUUGUUGUCCUGUGGCAUGUGGGAUCAAUCCUUCCAGACCAGGGAUCGAACCUGUGUCCCCUGCACUGGCAGGCGGAUUCUUAACCACUGGACCACCAGGGAAGUCCCGCUACUUUAGUUUUGAUAACCACUGCGGUCAGGGUUUGAAAAUAAAUAUCAAACCUUCGACGUGACAUUUAUUUUCCACAAUGUCCCAUCUUUGCAGCUCCUUGAAUAAUACCUGUUAGAAAUCUUUAUCCCAUGAUAACUUUCUGUUUCUAGAGCUUUAUCCCUUAAUUAAAUGUUAAGGGGGCAAUGACCUUCUUUGUAGAUGUCUUCUAAAUAUAAAUUACUUUUCACACUGGUGAGAAAUGGUUGAGUUUUUCCCUUCCUGUUUUAAUAUGAAGACAUUGAAACAGAAGGAGAGGCAUGCUUAAGCUUUAAAGGAAAGGGAGUUUUUUAUUUUCCUGUCUCCUGAGCUAAUCUUUAAUUACCAGAGCCUUUAUCCUUCACAGAUUAUGACCCACCUAUUACUACUUGUCAGUGUAAUUAAAUUGCAUGAUCUAUUUGGGUGCCUGGAGCAAGUCAUAGAGUAGUUUUCUAAAUAAAUAAGAGAUUCCAUCAUGGUAUGUUUAUUUGUAUUUUUCACUCAGUUUAAAUAUAAUAGAUCUGAAAGAAUAGUCAUAUUUAUCCACACAAAUUAAAGUUGCUUUGUUGCAUUUCAAUGUGGAUUUGUGAAAGUGCCACAUGAAUACUAACUCUGAAGACAAAAACAAAAAACCGAAAAUCCAAAAAGCAAAGCAAAGCAAUUAAGUGAUUUGGUUUUUUGUUUUAAGUCUGUAACUAGUGAAAAAAAAAUUCACAGGAGACUCUUAUUGAGACUCAAAGGCCCCAGACUUGUGAUAACCUUGGGGAUUUUAUUGAAAAGUCAAAAUGAAGCUGUUUGGGAGCUUGGAACAGAAAAUUAAAAAGCAAGCUCUCCUUGUUGGGUCAUUUCCUCGCACUAAUACCUUUUCCAAACCAGGUAGCUAUGUCAUGGGCAUGUUGAAUAUUUAGGCUCUCGGAAAAGCCUGGAAAAUGCACCAAAAUGGUAUUGACAUUUUAGUCCUGAAAAUUUAUUUUUUUCUUAUUCUGGAAAUAUCUAAAGUGAUGAUUUUACUCCAACUUGUCACUGUUUCCAUCCCACUCCUUACCUUUCCUCCUUCUGCUGCCAGUCAACACUGUAGGCAUUUUGACAUCUCCCCCAUUACUAAUUAAUGGAGAUUAUGUACAUUUUCAUAGAUCUCUCCUGAGGAUAAUAAUCUUGGUUUAAAAAAUUCCCGCACAUGCAUACUGGUAUGUAUAGUUUUCAUAAGUUCUUACCUGGAGUUGACUUAGACUAGUAAUUUAUUAAGCAAGCUAAAAAUCCGCAUUUCACCUCACAGAAAAUAAUCAGUGUGUUAUAGCAUAACCAGUCUUGAUGGGAGAUUUUGAAACUAUCCCUGGCUUAUGCAUUUUUGUUUUGCAGGCUUUUUAUUACAUAAUUUCAAAUUGUGGCAUUUUAGUAGCAUAACCAGUUAUAGUGUGUGUGUUAUAGCAUAACCAGUCUUGAUGGAGAUUUUGAAACUAUCCCUGGCUUAUACAUUUUUGUUUUGCAGCCUUUUUAUUACAUAAUUUCAAAUUGUGGCAUUUUAGCAAGAUGAGACUAAUUUUUGAAAUUAGUUGUGACGUUUACCUCUCUCUGUAUACCGUCAUGAUUAAGCAUGCAGCCUGUGGAAUCACACUGCCUGAGUUAAAAUUCAGGUUUUUGCCGGUUAGUAGCUGGAUAAAUUAUCUGAACAUCUUAGGCCUCUAUUUCGUCAUCUGUUAAGUGGGAAUAAUAAUAAUUGUACCUACCUCUAAGGUGUUUGGAGGGUUUGAUAAGACACACAAAGCCUUUGGUAUAGUGCUUGGCUCAUUGUUAAGUACUUAAUAAAUGUUACUUUUUCUUUUUUUUCCAUUCUCCCGCUCCCUCCUGCCCCCACUGCCACCAAUGAGAAAGAUCGUGGCAGAAAAAUCCUCAUUCUGCCCAAAACCAAGGGUGACAAAAGAGACGGCAUCUAGUCCAUGGAAAUUGAAUAACUGCAUUUUCCUUUUAAGUGAGAGGAUGCAGUAAAGAAUCUAAUUUGAGCUGAAUGAGAACUGGAUGCCCAAGUAGGAAAUUCUGAGAAUCCUUCUAACAUAGCACUGCGUUCUCCAUGCAGUGAUGCCAACUCCUCCUUACAGUGCAUCUGCUCUGUGUGUGCUACAGUAAAAGAGCACCUUAAUGAUCAGCCAAAGACUGGAUUUCAGGAUUGUCCAUUGAAACAAAUACAACCAUUGUAUAUGUGCUGUGCUUAGUAGCUUCAGUCGUGUCCAAUGCUUUUCGACCUCAUGAACUGCAGCCCUCCAGGCUUCUCUGUCUAUGGGGAUUCUCCAGGCAAGAAUACUAGAGUGGGUUGCCAUGCUCUCCUCCAGGGGUUCUUCCCAGCCCAGGGGUUGAACCCAGGUCUCCCACAUUGCUGGUGAAUUCUUUACCAUCUGAGCUACCAGGGAAACCCCAAAUUCAAUAAUUUAAUUCUAUGCAUUGCUCUCCCCACCCCCACUCAAAAUUGCAUCCCAUUUCUAAAAGUCAUGUGUGGACAGCUGAACAUCCUUUGGGCCUGAGCACUACUUAAAAGCAGGAAGAGGACUCUACUAAGCCAAUUCACCACAUUUAGAGACCAGCGACAUUUCUCUCAUAUGCCUAUUAUUUGGAGAAAUGAUUCAAGCUCAGGUAGCCGGUCAGCUGGUUCCCUACCAGUCACUGCAACCUCCUGUUGCACGCUCAUCAGCAGACCUGGCAUAAAGCGUCCCAGCUGGGGUCAUGUGGCUAGGAGAAGAAGGAAGACACAGCUACCCCAAAGAGACACCCCGUCCAGGUCUACAGGACAAGGAGGCAUUUUGUGACCAGUGGAAGACACAAAUGUCUCCCGUCUCCUUCUUUGUAUACGUGAUGGUGAAAACAGGAGAAAACGCACAGACCAGAAGACAUCCAGACAGUGGGCUGUUCUCACUGACGACGUUUGUGCCGCAUUCCUCCUCGCCCCUGGAGUGCAUUGCGACACUCAGACUGGUGGUUCUGGGAGCCAAGCAGCUGAUGGGGGAGCCUCAGGAGGCAGCAGAGACAAAUUAAUCUUCAGAUCCACCAUUUCCCCUGAAACACACCACUUGCUAAACUGAAUUUCAAGCCAAGAGCAGCAAUUUUCCACAGCCCAAGUCUGGAAAAGUCUGUGAAACCACAUUGGGUCCGAAAACCAAAGUUGGUUUUUGCUGUUUUUCGUGGAGCACCAGAGAGACAACUCCAGAAUUCCAGAUGUGAGGCAGCUGGAUGGACGUGUGUGUCCAGGCAUCUGCACAGCAGCUUCAGAAAGGCGACCACGGACAGCUGCGAAAAACCACCACUGACAACCUUCUUUCUCUUUUCUUACCUGAACCUCUGGACUUACUUGUCUGAAAAGAAAGAGGGAAGAAAAAAAAAAAGCUGGCACUCAUUGUUUUGUUUUCUCAAUUUUCUUGUCAACUGACUCAUGAUAAAAGAAUGUCCUUUUCAAUCAAUUUCAAUUCUGCAGAACAGAAAAAUAGAGAAUUUAUAGGCAACUAUUGGAAACAAAGGAACCAUCUGUUUUUUUAAGUAUAAUUUUUCUCUGCAAUAGUCCUCUCCAAACACUUGGAUCAUUUAUUUUCCCUCACCGCACCACUUUUAGUGAACCAGAGAACCCCAUUGUCCAACCCAGGUGCUGAGGGAUGCUAGGUGGAGAAGUCUUUCUGGCAGCUGGGAAUAUGUGUCUUGAAUGGAGGAGCCAGGUCUGGCCUGGGAGCCUGGGAGAAGAAGCUGUCCAAAUAGAGACGACAAAAAAUUAUCAGAUAUUCUGAAGGGAUGAUGAAAUGUGUCAACAAAGACUCCGUCUGCUGUUUUAUAAGCAUCUCUAUGCUCAAUAAAAGAGAAUGAUCCUAAGCUCUAGUUACAAAGAACCAUGACAAAAAAACUAAUAUGAAAAUUUUCUAGGCAAAAAACCAGGCUGUUAGUUGAUUUUAAAUAAAUAUUUUAGUGAGAGUGGUUUUGUUUCAGCAUACUGAAAUUACUAAAUCCUAGGUUAUGAACCACCCCCCCUCCCCAUUAUAUAAGUAGAGUAGGAGGGCAUGUUGGAUAUGAUCUCAUUCCUUCAUUUGCUCAUUCAUUUACUCAAAAAGUAUUUACAUUUCUUUAAUAUUUAAUGUAGUACUUAAUAUAAUGUUGUAGAUAAUAAAUACGACAAGUGUAUUCAGGCAUGUGUUUUUGCAUUAAUAUUCAUAGAACAUCACCUCAUGCCAGACACUGUAACUUAGGGAUAUUUGGUGGUCCAUGAAGAUAGUCUCUAUUGGACACAGCUGGCUAGUCUGCUGGGGUUAAAAAUUCAACAGCAUUUAUAAAUUUGGUUUUCUGCCUUUCCGUCUUUCCUUCUCACUCUGCUCCCUCUUUCUCAUCCUUUUUCCCUUCCUCCUGUCCUUCCUUCCUUCCUUCCUUUCUCAACAAAUGCCUUUCAGCAGCUACAUUAUUUUCUGAAUGGACACCUGAUUAGUUGAUCUUCCAUUCUCAGUGAAAAUGAAUGCUUUUUAUGCCACAAAAUCAUCACAUUGCUUUAGCAUUUAGUUGCCUGGAACUAUAUCAAAGUCAGUGACAUAUGUAGUCCAUUAGUUGCACUGAGCUCUUAACCUCCCUGGGAGAAAAAGAAACGACAUAAAUAAGGCUUCUUUUACAUCAAACAGCAAAUAAAUGAAGUCAUUUGAAGAAACCACCUACAUGAAGUCCUGGAACUGUAAUUACCCAACUCUCUCUUUUGGCAAACAGAGGCUUUCUUACAAUAUACCUGUCUCCCCAGUAAUGGUCCCUCCCGGUGGGAUGUAGCAAGACUGUGGGUCACAGGGGCCCAAGACAAAGAUGUUACUGAUUUGGACACUUGAACUACUGCUCAAGAAGGAAAUUCCCAACGUUCAUCCUGGCCGAGAUCAGAAAUUGUUUUGGAAGCUGUGAGGUCAGCCUUUAGUCUCUAUAGGUCCGCUUGUAGGGCACGAAGUUCACUAACUUCUCAGAAAAGAAAAAGAGCACUUAAUAAAAUAAAUUGCUUCUACUCCCCU